rnacentral:lncRNA from 1 species
UUCAUUCAUCGCAAUUGAACCUUCUCGUCAGAACUCGUUCUUUAGGUAUUUGGAUUUCUCUUAUUCUUCUUUGAUUUCUAAUUUUAAAUUUGCACUCUAAGAUUUUGGAUUUCUUUUGCAUUAAAAGAUGCGGCGUUCUUUGUGUUCUGUGAUUUCUUCACUAAACUUAUGCAUUUGUUCAAGUAUCUAUAUACCACUACACAUUCAAAACCUUCAUUUAUAUUAUGUAUCAUUUCAAUUAUUAAUAAUGUGAAGGUAUAAAUUUGCAUGUGUAUUCAUAAUGUGGAAAUUAUAAUGCACCUGUGGUGGUGGAUUUAAUGGUUCCGUUGUUUAUGAAAUUAAUGAAAUUCUUUUGUUAUAUUAGUCUAUUAGAAACAGUUUUUAGGGAUUAAAUGGAUAAAUAUGGACUUGGCCUCAUUGGUUACAAAAUGGAUUCUUGUGUUGAUAUACUUGUCAGUAAAUAAAUUGGUUAUGUUUGUGAGAAAAAAAGUAUGUAAUAAGAUGUUCUAAUAGCUCAAAGGUUGGUCUCAGAAGUACUAUAUGUGUAAGCAUGUCAAUUACUAUGAAGAAAAAAUACAAUAGAAUAACAUGUGCAUGCCAUGUAUCUUGAUUCUUGACCAUGAAUUGAAAUUUGCGUUUGACAAUUAAAGUUUUCCAUUUUUGAGUUAUAUUGUUGUCAAAUAACCGAUUAUCCCAAAAGCUUAAGCUAUUAGGAUAGAACCACAUCAAUGGUUUUAUAUUAUUUCUAACAAUUGUCACAAUUAUAGUUGCAUAAUUGCAUAUAGGCUUGCCUAUGAAAUUAUGGACUAAUGAGUUGUUGACCAAUGAAUUGUUCUCGACCUUGCUUCUUUUACUUAUAUGUAGCUUCUUCUUUGCUUCCCCUUUUCAGGUUUAUGUAAAGUCGAGAUGAACAAUCAUAUCAUUGCAGCUUUUAUACAAAAAGGUGAGGUUUGGACUUUCACCCGCUGUCACUAAGUAUUGAGAAGGAGGCCCCAGACGCAAUAGGUUAAUAACUGAAAUUUUAAGCCUACAAUUUUGUCAACCUAUUCUUUCACUGUUUUAAUUUUUUGGGUGGUGAUUGUAGUUGUGUAUUUGUUAAUCAGCAUGCAAUAAUGUAUGUUGAAGGAGAUAAGUACUAGGGAGGUAAAGCUAAUGAAAUAAGUGGUGUGCAUGAAGUGGUUUUGUGGAGACAUGUUAAUUGAGAAGUUGGAGACAUAUGUAAGUGAAUUUGACCAAUUUGAAUAUAGCAACUCAAUUUUGAUAUUGUUGUGGAAUUAGGCAAGCUAAGAUACUGGUGUGGAAUUAUAGUUACAGUUUUUCGUAUUCUCUAAAGCUAUUUGGUUAUUGGUUCUCUUGCAGAAUACUGAUUUGGUUAUGCAUCUCUAAAGCUAUUUGGUUAUGCAUAAAUACUAGAUUUGUUGGUCCUUCAGAGGUAUAUUUUAUUCUAAUCAACGUAAUUUACUAUAUUAUGCAGGCCACUUAAAUUUGAUGACAAUAAUUUAGCUAUAUUCUACUUAAUGCUUAUAGCUAGCUAUGCCAUUGUUGAUGGGUAUGGUUCUAUGCCAUUGUUGGGUAUGGUUCUACUUAAUACCGGUAUUGCUUGAUUGACAUGUCCUUUGAAUAUAUGUUGUUGAAUGUUUAUAAUUUACCUGGUGACAUAUUAUCUUGUUUUUUCCAUUUGGUGGCCUGAAGUAAUUGCUUUAAACCCAUCUCUAUUUGACUUUAAAUAUUGGCAUUUAUGCUUUACUAUGUUGACAAUUUAAAGUUCCUUCCAUAAUGGAGUAAUUGCUUUUCUAUGUUGCUUAGCCUUAUCACUUUAUGUUGUAUAUUUGUUUUCAAUCUCUCACAUGGUGUAUAUGCAUAUAUUAUCUUUUAAUUUAAGAAAUGAUGUGUUAUUCUUAAUUGUUUCCUUUUUUCAUGUGUAAUAACUUUCUGUAUUGACAAAUAAUUUAUCAGGGAGUUAGGUGCUUCUAAUGGAUUAUACACUGCUUGAUGAUUUUUUAUCUUCAACUUAGCUUCUAAUGUCGUAGCGAGGGAGUGGGAUUUUUUCCCUUUGAUCUCAGACUUGUUAGAAGGUGUUUAAGGAUUUUUUGUUACAUUUCCUGUUAGAUUCUUUGAGCAUGUAGAUUAACCUUGAAUGAUGGCUUAUUUCCAUUGUUGUAUAAUUUUUUGUUUUGAACUGAUUUUAGGCAAGCUAUCAAAAGCAGCAGUACUAGAGGCAAUCUGUGCAAAUUUCCAAGAGACCACUGAGCCAUCAAUUGGUUAUCAAUGGUGUUUUUCAUUGAUGCUGCUACUUCUAUAGUUCUUUUUUUUUGACAAAGCUACUUCUAUAGUUCUAUUCUUCAAUUGAAAGAUCAAGUACGUGAUUGUUGGCUUAUCAAUUGUAUCUUUAUAUUCUUUAGUUAGUUUUAUGAUUUUUCCAUCUCACUGCUUAUCAAUGCUUAGCAAUGCAUUCAUAUGCUCUGUAAUUCAUAUAUUGAUUAGUUUAAAUGCAAAUUGUAUUUGGAUUUGAA